CUCCUAAUCCUCUCUGUACUCACGCUGGCACCGCCGUCUCCUUCUCCACUUCUACUAGAUCACUACCACCACUCCCAAAAUCUUCUAAUCCCAUUCCCAAUCCCUCCUCCAAAACCCUAACCCUUAUUCCCCAAACCUCUGCAAAUAUCACUACCAAAAACAAAGUUCUCACUUCUUUUUACUUGACUCAGGCAUUUUAACAAACACUUCAACAUGCUGCAGCUGCCGCACUUCACCUGCUGUUUCCUCCUCUUACUGCUCCCGUUGAUCACGUGCUCGAAUUCGAAGCUGACGACGGUGUACGACGUGCUGCGGGCCCACGGGCUUCCGAUGGGACUGCUGCCGAAAGGGGUCGUCGAUUUCGAGGUCGACGACGCCGGCAGGUUUACGGCCCACCUGGAUCAGGCCUGCAAUGCCAAGUUCGAGAGCGAGUUGCAUUACGACAGAAACGUUUCGGGGACGCUGAGUUUCGGGCGGAUCGGAUCCUUGUCGGGUAUUUCGGCGCAGGAGCUGUUCCUCUGGUUUCCGGUUAAGGGUAUCCGGAUCGACGUGCCCAGCUCCGGCAUCAUUUACUUCGAUGUCGGCGUCGUUUAUAAGCAGUUCUCGCUGUCGCUGUUCGAAACGCCGCCUGAUUGCACGGCCGCCUCCGGCAGCUUUGAAGCCAUUGGAACCGUUUCCAAGAGUAAAUCGGGGAAAUUGCGGUCCAAGCUCAAUUAUGAACUUGGUGGGAGAUAUUUUGGGUAGAACUUUGGAGGGAGAAGUGGAUUGGAAUUGUGAGUUCUGCAAAGUCUGGAUUAGUGUGUGUUGGGUUGAGUUUUUUUUCCGGUUUUCAAUGGCCAGUGAAUUCGAUUCGAAACCGAAGAUUGGAGGAGGCAGAGUUAAAACACAGUCAGUUUGUUGUGUCCCAGCUGCAAGAAGAUUGAGUGAGGCAGAAGAAACAAUGUGGUCAGAUGAAGCCCAAAUCAGGUCUAAAACCUUGAAGGACUCUGUGUCAGUUGUCUGAGAGGGUUAGAGCAGAUGCUUUGAUUGAUUAGUGAUGUGACUCUAAUCAGAGUAAAUUCUUUUUGCACUGGAUUUUGUUCCGGGAAGUUUCUGUCCGAUCAAAUUUUGGUUUCUUUCAUCCUUCUUUUCUUCUUUGUCAGAGCAGAAGCUCUGCAGAUGGUAUGUGUAAUAUUUUGUUCUUUGAGAAAUGUUAGGGAGAUUCUCUCAAAA